CCUACGGGAGGCUGCAGUGGGGAAUAUUGGACAAUGGGCGAAAGCCUGAUCCAGCCAUGCCGCGUGUGUGAAGAAGGCCUUCGGGUUGUAAAGCACUUUCAGUGGGGAAGAAAGCCUUGGGGCUAAUACCCUCGAGGAAGGACAUCACCCACAGAAGAAGCACCGGCUAACUCCGUGCCAGCAGCCGCGGUAAUACGGAGGAUGCGAGCGUUAAUCGGAAUUACUGGGCGUAAAGCGCGCGUAGGCGGUCUGAUAAGCCGGUUGUGAAAGCCCCGGGCUCAACCUGGGAACGGCAUCCGGAACUGUCAGGCUAGAGUGCAGGAGAGGAAGGUAGAAUUCCCGGUGUAGCGGUGAAAUGCGUAGAGAUCGGGAGGAAUACCAGUGGCGAAGGCGGCCUUCUGGACUGACACUGACGCUGAGGUGCGAAAGCGUGGGUAGCAAACAGGAUUAGAUACCCCGGUAGUC
rnacentral:rRNA from 1 species